GGGGCGUACAGUACUGCUCCUAACCGGUCUCACUGGGCUGUACAAUACUGCUCCUAACUGGUCUCACUGGGUCGUACAGUACUGCUCCUAACCGGUCUCACUGGGCUGUACAAUACUGCUCCUAACCGGUCUCACUGGGUCGUACAGUACUGCUCCUAACCGGUCUCACUGGGUCGUACAGUACUGCUCCUAACCGGUCUCACUGGGUCGUACAGUACUGCUCCUAACCUGUUUCACUGGGCUGUACAGUACUGCUCCUAACCGGUCUCACUGGGCUGUACAAUACUGCUCCUAACCGGUCUCACUGGGUCGUACAGUACUGCUCCUAACCGGUCUCACUGGGUCGUACAGUACUGCUCCUAACCGGUCUCACUGGGUCGUACAGUACUGCUCCUAACCUGUCUCACUGGGUCGUACAGUACUGCUCCUAACCGGUCUCACUGGGUUGUACAGUACUGCUCCUAACCGGUCUCACUGGGUCGUACAGUACUGCUCUUAACCUGUACAGUACCGCUCCUAACCUGUCUCACUGGGCUGUACAGUACCGCUCCUAACCGGUCUCACUGGGUCGUACAGUACUGCUCCUAACCGGUCUCACUGGGUCGUACAGUACUGCUCCUAACCGGUCUCACUGGGUCGUACAGUACUGCUCCUAACCGGUCUCACUGGGUCGUACAGUACUGCUCCUAACCGGUCUCACUGGGUCGUACAGUACUGCUCCUAACCUGUCUCACUGGGUCGUACAGUACUGCUCCUAACCGGUCUCACUGGGUUGUACAGUACUGCUCCUAACCGGUCUCACCGGGUCGUACAGUACUGCUCUUAACCUGUACAGUACCGCUCCUAACCUGUCUCACUGGGCUGUACAGUACCGCUCCUAACCUGUCUCACUGGGUCGUACAGUACUGCUUCUAACCUGUCUCACUGGGUUGUACAUUACCGCUCCUAACCGGUCUCACUGGGUCAUACAGUACUGCUCCUAACCGGUCUCACUGGGUCGUACAGUACUGCUCCUAACCUGUCUCACUGGGUCGUACAGUACUGCUCCUAACCGGUCUCACUGGGCUGUACAGUACUGCUCCUAACCGGUCUCACUGGGUCGUACAGUACUGCUCCUAACCAGGCUCACUGGGUCGUACAGUACUGCUCCUAACCUGUCUCACUGGGCCGUACAGUACUGCUCCUAACCGGUCUCACUGGGUCGUACAGUACUGCUCCUAACCUGUCUCACUGGGUCGUACAGUACUGCUCCUAACCUGUCUCACUGGGCUGUACAGUACUGCUCCUAACCUGUCUCACUGGGCUGUACAGUACUGCUCCUAACCUGUCUCACUGGGCUGUACAAUACUGCUCCUAACCGGUCUCACUGGGCCGUACAGUACUGCUCCUAACCGGUCUCACUGCGACCAUGGGACUAUAACUCACCCUCACUGAGCUGGAGGAGAGCCGGACUGGAAUGUCAGCACUAUUUCUGCCAGCCAGGCAUUCUCUCUAAUGACAUAGCACCAUUUCAUCCCUCCAUCCGUCCAUUCCUUCACUUCAUCACUCCAUCGCUUCCACUCCAUGUACUUUUUAAUGGCCAGUCAUUUCAGAGCUGACGCGAUGCGUUGAGAGAAGGGUAGAGCAUUGGGUGAUUGCAGUACUGUACAACCCAGUGAGACAGGUUAGGAGCAGUACUGUACGACCCAGUGAGACCGGUUAGGAGCAGUACUGUACGACCCAGUGAGACAGGUUAGGAGCAGUACUGUACAACCCAGUGAGACAGGUUAGGAGCAGUACUGUACGACCCAGUGAGACCGGUUAGGAGCAGUAUUGUACGACCCAGUGAGACCGGUUAGGAGCAGUACUGUACGACCCAGUGAGACAGGUUAGGAGCAGUACUGUACAACCCAGUGAGACAGGUUAGGAGCAGUACUGUACGACCCAGUGAGACCGGUUAGGAGCAGUACUGUACGCCCCUCUCAACUCACAUACACUGGUCCCCUGCAGGGUGGGUUUAUUAAAACUGACCUGUAAAUGUGUGUGUGUGUGUGUGUGUGUGUGUGUGUGUGUGUGUGUGUGUGUGUGUGUGUGUGUGUGUGUGUGUGUGUGUGUGUGUGUGUGUGUGUGUAAGUGUGUGUGUGUGUGUGUGUGUGUGUGUGUGUAAAUGUGUG
rnacentral:lncRNA from 1 species